rnacentral:tRNA from 3 species
GGAGAGGUGCUGGAGUGGCCGAUCAGGGUCGCCUGCUAAGCGAUUGUUCCGAUUAUGUCGGAACCGUGGGUUCGAAUCCCACCCUCUCCGCCA